UACGUAGGGUGCAAGCGUUGUCCGGAAUUAUUGGGCGUAAAGAGCUCGUAGGCGGUCUGUCGCGUCGGACUGUGAAAACCCGGGGCUCAACCCCGGGCCUGCAGUCGAUACGGGCAGACUAGAGUGUGGUAGGGGAGACUGGAAUUCCUGGUGUAGCGGUAGAAAUGCGCAGAUAUCAGGAGGAACACCGGUGGCGAAGGCGGGUCUCUGGGCCAUAACUGACGCUGGAGGAGCGAAAGCGUGGGGAGCGAACAGG
rnacentral:rRNA from 1 species